rnacentral:rRNA from 1 species
UACGUAGGGGGGCGAGCGUUGUCCGGAAUCAUUGGGCGUAAAGCGCGUGUAGGCGGCCCGGUAAGUCCGCUGUGAAAGUCCAGGGCUCAACCCUGGGAUGCCGGUGGAUACUGUCGGGCUCGAGUCCGGAAGAGGGGGGUGGAAUUCCAGGUGUAGCAGUGAAAUGCGUAGAGAUCUGGAGGAACACCGAUGGCGAAGGCAGCCCCCUGGGCUAACACUGACGCUCAUGCACGAAAGCGUGGGGAGCAAACAGG